UAGUAUCCCCUUUGAUUUGUGUUGCUAUUGAUUUUUGUUGGUGGUACUUUAAAAAAAGAGAUAGAAAUACGUCUUGUUUUUUGAAAGAUUAUCUUCAGACUAUUCCACUUUAAUUUAGAGGUACAUCCAUUAUAUAUUAAAUUAAUGAGUAUGUCUUUCCCCAAUCAUUUUAAUCAUAUUUUGUGUUUUAACAUCUAUUUGAUUGAAUGUUCACGUUUUUGUUAUGACUUAUAUAAUGGGUAGUUGACAAAACGAUCUUGUAUUCACUGACAUUUUUUUCUUUCCUUUGAAGAUAAGCUUAGAAAUUUUUAAAUUUAGUUUUCUAGUGCUUCUUUUUUCUUCUGUGUUCAAGUCAUGACUUGUGAUCUUUUUAUCUUUUAUUUCUUGCUUAAUUUCAUUUCUUUUCUUAGUUUCCUUCGGAUACUUUUUCCAGUUGUGUUUAGUAUUGAUAGAGUUCUUCAGUGAAGUGUAUGUUUUAGCUCAUAUUUUGGUUUCAAAUUAAAUCUCCUAAGGACAUUACAUUUUGGAUUUCUGUUUGAAAAUACAGAGCAUUGUAAUAAUUUUUGUUUCAUAAUUUAGUUAUCUGAAUUUCUUUCUGGAAAUUCAAAGUGUUGUCACCUUAAACUCGGGACAAAGAGGACCCUUCUUGGUUUAUUUAUCAUUAGAAUGUUUCUUGUUAUCACAUUGUGUCUUCUUAAAUGGAUUUAUAUUUGACAAGGAAACCUUGUUUUGUACAGAUCUUGGGGAUUGCAAAUUAUUUUCUUCAGAUGGAUUUUGCGCAGCACUCAUGUAUGGUGCAUCAUUCCUAAUAGGACGUGUUCUAUUAGAAGCACGCCUCUCAGUCGCCAGAGCAAAUGGCUGGGGAACAUUGUACUUUGGGUUACAACUUCCAGCAACAGAUUUGGCUACUGGUUUCACUGAAGUUCUUAGUCUUCUGUUAUCAUCUUUUACUUUUGUACUUGGUUGAUCUUGUUCUUGUCUGCUCUCAACUAGAAUUUCAGUUGUGUAUUCCUUCGUUACAUAAUACUCCCUUUCAACAUUCUCAUUCAGAAUAUCAUUUCUCUACUCCCCAGUGACAUACUCAGGUGACUGCGACACAUCUAGAUUACCGUCUAUCAAGUAAUUUGAAUCCGGGAAACACAUCUGAGUAACUUAUUUUGCCACCCUGCUCCUUUUCCAUACAAGUAUGUGUAACUUCUAACCCCAUCAACCUCCUUAACAAGAAGGUGAAAGUUUAGGUAACCAUCUAAGCUAUCAGUAAUCGAACUUGAAACACACUUUAUAAUGCAACAUCCAUCUCAUUCAAAUCCUUAAAACCAUACAAAGAAAGAUACAAGACACUAAAGAAUAGUAGCAUAUUUUGGUUUUACCUAGUGAGCUAAAAUUCAUCUGCAGUGUCGUUAUAGAUGUCCUCUUGCUUAAUAUAACGUUUAGUGCCUAUUAUUGCUGCAGUAGUUAACUUUGCUUACGCACUUUUAAACAAAUUUGUAGAUCCAAAUGUGUGUGAACGUGGAGGUGGUGGAUUGUGAUAAAUUCUAAUGUGAAACUUUGAUCUUUGUUGUUGUUGAUACAUCGAUAGUUUUGCUAGUUGAUGGGAGUUCUUACAAAGAAAGGAGAAUGAAGUUGGUACUAUAUCAUUCAA
rnacentral:lncRNA from 1 species